GCUGCGCACGAGUCGGUGUGGUUUUGUGCUGUAAUUAAAAGUUAAAAAUAUUUAAUUUUCGAAUUAAAGUAAAUCCUUGAAGUAAUAAAUAUAAUAUCUGACAUUAGUUGAAGAUUGAGCUUUGCUAGUAGGUAAACAUCGUGAGGAAACCUGGAUACCUGAGAUGUUCUCUAUAGUAAUUUUGAGGGUGUGUGAAGUCUGCCAAUCCGCAUUGGACCAACGUGGUGGAAAACAGCCUAACCCCCACAGUAGUACAAGAGGCUCGUACCCAACAGUGUGACAGUAUAGACAGUGGAAUUUUUGAACCACACCUGAAGGGAAAGUACUCUAAAUACUGGAGAUAUCAAAUUUAACUCAAAUGAAACAUUCCUUUAUUUUUAAAAACAAGCAAAAUUGCAUUCAAAGAUUUUUGGAAAUACACUUGCCACACGCAGGAAUCAAACGUGUUAAAAUCCGAAAAAAUAACAACCUGUUCUCUUAUACCAUACUCGGAAGUAAAACGUAAGGAAUCAAAUUAAAACGUGUGACGUCAUGUAGUGCCAAGGCUAGUCCUCAAGAAUGAGGAUUUACAAGGAAAAAGUCGCGAAUAACUCGACAACUGACAAAUAUGUUUUGCCUAUUACCUAUUGUUGUAGCGGCGAUAGCCUAGUUGGUUCUGGAACGGACUGCCGAGACGAAUGUUCGCAGGUUCAAAACCCAAGGGCACACA